rnacentral:misc_RNA from 1 species
UUGAUUGGUCGAAAGACCUUAUCAGAUUCCACCACCUCUGUGAACCGUUGACCUCCGGGUUAAUAAUCAAACAUCAGUGUAACGAACGUAAGAGUAUCUUAAUUAAACA